UGCCUCUGCUGCUGGGCGCGCGGCGAGGGCGCACCGACGACGGCCCUCGGGGAUCCGAGGCUGACCGCUCUGAGCACGUCGAGGUCGUACGCGGCGGGCUUGGCUGCCUGGUGGUGGUGGUCGGGGGCGUAGAAGAGGUCGUCGGUGCCGACCAUGUCGAGCAGGUCGACGGAGUCGUCGGGGAGGAGCGCGGCGACGUCGACGUCGGCGUCGUCGGGGAGCGAGAGGAGGGCGGCGUCGUAGGCUGCCUCGUGGAGCUGGUGCUGUCGGAACCAGUGGUCCCGGAACCAGGCGGUGGUCUUGACGAGCUCCCACCACUCGGGCGAGAAGUCCUCCACCUGGCGGUACGCCGCCGGGAUGAAGAGCGGCGCGUUCGGGUUCAGCGACGACGACGCCAUGGCCAUGGUGCUCAUCCUCGGUUCUCCUUUCUACUACCUGGAACAAGCACGGCAAGAAAAGCAGUCAGCUUUAGCCUCAGCUUCAGCGCAGAGCUCGUGCUCGUGCUCGAGCUACAGCAGCAUCCCCGAUCCGAUCGUCCGAGCUCAGAUCCGGAAGGGGAAAUCGUUAACGUCACAGAUCUGAGAAAGCUUUUCUGGUGGUGUUCGUGCUCACCUUUUCCUCGCUUGGCUCCGCUUCGCUUUGGACGUGCCGAGCGAGCGAGCGAACAGGGGGAAUAUCCCGUGCAGUUCUGGGGUGCCGUGCCGUGCCGUGCCGCGGUGGGGAGGGGGCGGGUGUUUAUAGCCAGGCACCCAGGCGCGGUGCGACGACGACGACGAGCCGAGCCAGGCCGCGUGGGGUGGCUUCGGGUGGUGGUGGUGGUGGGUGGUGGCGGAGGGCCGGAUGGGGAGUGGUCGGCUUCGGCUUGCUUUCUCCUCGGGGACGCGGUGUGGCCAGUGGGGUAAACGGCUGGCGCGUCUCGACCGGAUUUUCUAUGGGCGCCCUGUGGUUCGCGGCGCUCUGGUUGGUCUGUGCUGGUGUGGUGGUGGGGGAGAAGACGGGGAGUAGUUUAUUGGGCACGAAGGUUCGUGGCUGAUGAGGACGAAACGAGCUGGGAGGCGGACGUACGUACAACGUGUAAACCGUGGCAGCAGUCAACCGUGGCCGCUGGUUGUGUGGUUACAUAAUUCCGAGUUAUGAGCUAGCAUCAACUUUAGCCGAUCUUUUCUUUUAAAACAAAUUCUGACGCUGAGCAUGCGUAUCUUGAUAUUAAGACAAGUUAUGGUACCACUACUAUUAUAAAAAAAUCUGACCACCUGACCCGGUCUCAAACUCAAAUCCAGGUGAAUAGUUCGCCCAAGAUUCCACAGCAAACAUAAUCUUGUUUUUCCCAACUUAACAAACUGAUAUUUUCAUACUUUCAUAUACUAAAAUAUCUCACCUCUAUGUUUUUCUAUAUUAAAAAAUACCAUCUCUAUGUUUUUAAUUGUUAUAAGACGUGUGCUUGUCUAGACUGACCGACUGAGCUUAGACACCGACACCGACACCAUUCGUAGGAGGAAAAAAAAGGCUCGCGUGCCUUUGUUUCAAAAACGAUAUUAAUUUGUCGAAUAGUGGCCUGCAUGAAUCUGCUCAUUGUUAUGCAUGAAUCUGACCAAAUAAAUAAGAUCCGAAAUAACUUAGUCCAUCGAAUUAAUUAAUUAAUUAAUAUUCAAGGAUGUAGCAUACGGCAUCAGGAACUAAACCACCAGGAUUAGGAAUGGACCCAAGCACGCUACAGACAAAGACGUCGCGAUCCGAAAUCGGCACGUCUUAAUAAGCGAGAUAUUUAAUACUUAAUUGCAAAUUGAUUCGGUGAAACGUUCUUUUUUUUUAGCCAUUGGGGUGAUGGCAUCAAGACAAAGUUGGGGGGCAGUUGCCACUUUGAUUUCCACGCAAAAUUCGUCAUCACUGAUUUUCAAUGGCUUUUGGGAGUACGUGUAGAGGCAUCGAGCGUUCAGCGAUUUUGAUCGCUCGUAGUACAGUACAGUGGAGUGGUUUUGCGAUAGCCAUUGGCGUCUGAUCUCGCAACCUUUUGAGCUUUCGUCGUUCAAGAGUCAAAAUUAAAAGAGGCUAGAAGAUACAUGCGACCCUCAAUUCAAGAGUCAGAUUUUUGAAUAACCGUGCCGAGACUCGACAUAUUUUACGAUCCAAACUUCAUUCACGCAUGUUUAAUAUAGGUGUGAUGUAUGCAUGAAUAAUUCUGGAUGGUGGGGUUCAACCAAUUUUCUUGUACCAUAUGGUUCACUCCUAUUAGUAGAAUAAUGUAUUAAGUGAGAUGGUUUCAUCAUGGAUAAUUGGUACAAUUCACCAACCAAAUAAAAGGAGGGAAAGCUUUACCAGUUGUGCGGACGGAUUAGCCUUAAUUAACUUAUUAGUAAGUAAGAUCUUGGCUUUGUAUUGCCGCUUUUCCUAGAUAUAGCAUAGUAGUGCGUUUGCGAUAAGAUUGAAUUGAAACUCGAAGUGAGAGCAUGCAUUUCCAGCCAUACGGAGAGAAUUACCCGCCUACCUGGAUGGCCUGCCUAGUAGUUCUUUUGACCUGGAUGGUCCGCCUGCCUAGCUGUUAGCUUCAACAGGUUGCUAAGCAUUAAACAGUGGAGCUGUAUUUGUUUAUAUUUAUUUAAUUUGAACCAUUGGGAAAAGGGAACUGCUAAAUCUGCCUGUGCUCAUUAUUAUUUUGAACCAUUCCAUACAUGAAUCAAAUGAUUGAAGCAACCGAAUCAAAUGAUUGAAGCAACCGAAACACCCUACGUGUAAGUGUGUAACACAAGUCGUGUUGUGUGCGUGGAAGGCGUGCAUUCUUCGGGGGUGUUUGGCACAUAGGGGCUAAAAUUUAGCACCUGUCACAUCGGACGUUUGAUACUAAUUAAGAGUAUUAAACAUUGGUUAAUUAUAAAACUAACUGCACAACCCCUAGGCUAAAUUGCGAGACGAAUCUAUUAAGCCUAAUUAGUCCAUGAUUUGACAAUGUGGUGCUACAGUAACCAUUCUUUAACGAUGGAUUAAUUAGACUUAAUAGAUUCGUCUCGCGAUUUAGCCUCGGAAUUCUGCUAUUAGUUUUGUAAUUAGCUCACAUUUAAUCAUCCUAAUUAGCAUCCGAAUAUCCGAUGUGACAGGGCUAAAGUUUAGCCCAUAUCUCCCAAACACCCCGAACUUAUCCUCUCUCGGAAAAAACGCAACUGGUAUGCGCAUGUUGACGGCUUCUUUGAAUCAAAAGUCACACCACAGCGACUGGAAGACGACUCGAGCAGGGUCAACAGGCGGAACGUGGAAGCGCCGCAGAUGACACGACUGACCCGCCGGUCGCAUGCGUUCUCACGCCAAAUUCCCCCGUCCCCGCCGGUGCCCGGCGAGGUUGUGCGACGCCGACGCCGACCUCGAGCGGGCGCGGUGGGCUGGGAGCCUGGGAGCCGGAGAGCGCCCACGAUCCCGUCCCGUCGGAUGCGCUGCCCGCCACGUAACGCUCGUACGAUUGGUCUAUUAUCCUCCAAGAUGAUACUUCCUGCGAUCUCGUCUGAUCGAACUGAUUAUGGGAAAAAAAAAAUAGAAACAAAGAAAGAAGAAGGAUUGAUUAUCGACGAGGCAGCAGCGAUAUUUCUGCGUCGUCCGUCCCACGGUCCCACCCAUGACCAUGAUCCCAUGUUACCCGGGGCUCUGCAUGUGCCAACCGCUGAGCAAUCAUUGGACGGGCCGUCCACGUCAGAGCGCGAGCAUCGCUCGCUAGCUAGCACUAAACAACCGGAUAAGCACGGGCGCUUUGGCUCGAUUCGCGCUUGCAGCAUGCAGUUGGGCAUGCAAACCGGAUCCGUUGAUUAAUUUUGUAAGUUAGGAUCACAUCGCAUGUUUAAUACCUCCUACCUGGAGGUCUAAACAUAAACUAAUUAUAAAAUUAAUUGCGUAAAUUGGAUUAAUUCGGGAGAUGAAUCUAUUAAACUUGAUUAAUUCAUAAUUAGCAUAUAUUUACCUAGCGUGAUCAAAUCAUGGACUAAUUAGAUUUAAUAGAUUCGUCUCGUGAAUUAAUCUUUAUUUAUUCAAUUAAUUUUAUAAUUAAUCUAUAUUUAAUAUCUAACUUAGAUACGAUAGGAAUAAAAGGAUCCGAACACCCCUUCAGCUCGAUCGUCUCACUGACAGUGACCGGAUCACUGGACCACCGCCUCUAUGUACGGUCACACCACACCAGGAGUCGUCGCUGUCUUUGUUUCCUUUUCUCUCUUUUUGAUCGAGUCGUCGUUGUAACCGGUGAUGUGCACGCGGUAGACGGCCAAUAGUAAGAUAAAAGUGAUUCUGGGUAUUGUUUAGUUGGCAAAGUUUGGAGGUGUCAAAUUACUGUUACAGCACUGUAGCACACUGUAGCGUUUCGUUUGUAUUUGUGAAUUAUUGUCCAAAUAUUGACUAAUUAGGCUCAAAAGAUUCGUCUCGUAAAGUACAACAAAACUGUGCAAUUAGUUUUUAAUUUCGUCUACAUUUAGUACUCCAUGCAUGUAUCACAAGUUUGAUGUGAUGAGGAAUCUUUUUUUUUUCAUAGUGUCAAAGUUAGGAGUUGGGAUGAACGGACCUGGUCCCGCUAGGAGGCACGGCUGCCUUGUUCUUGAUGAUCGUGAUAAAGCUGCUGCUGUUUUGACGACGCUUCCUGCACUUGGUCGACAGUGACAACGUUACUGUCGCUAGCCGGCAGCUUCCUGCACCUGGACGGGUGCAGCCUGAUCGUUUCGUUGAAUAAUCGGACAGAUGGAACUGCACUCUGCAUUCGCACUGCAUCCACUCCUUUCGCGCUAAGCCAAUGACACGUACGGAUGGAGGAGGAAUAAUCAAUCAGGAGGCGAAGUGAUUAUUCCACUGAUUGGCCUCGUCGUCGGCGGAGCGAUGAUGAUGGGAUUUAGAUGCGCCGGGUGAUCGCGCGAGGUCUGUCGGGCAGAAGCAGCAGCAGGAGAUGAGGAGAAAAGGAGAGAUCAAUCCAUGCGCCCUCCGCUAGCUAGCUUUUUCGUAAAGCCACAGGCCAGCCGACAUCACUGCAUGCAAUUGAAAAUGAAGUCGGUGGGUGGGUGUACUGGUGUUUGUUAGAGUUUGAUCUCCACCGAUCGAGUCGGACCCUAUCUCACGUCCUGAUUGGGGAUGCACAAUCAACUCAUGGUUGCGGUUUUCCAUCAAGCAGUGCUAUAAAGAGUGAGGUGAGGUGGGCUGGGGGUACGCAUGCCGAAGUUCGCCGCGCCCACUUGCCCACCUAACAGAAUUGAGAACCCGAUCUACUAGCGCUGUAAGCAGUGGGAAGUUCCACCGCCACUCGCGUCGCGCUGCCACCGCCCACACUAGCCAUCGACGCCACCGUCACCGCCCAUGGCCAGCUCUUCUUCUAAGACCGAUGGUUGUUUUCUCUAAUCUCUGUACUAUCUCUCUCUGCCUCUCGAUUUCUCUUGAUCAAGACCCACUAGAUGUGCUGUCGUUGAUCACUUAUUUGAGUAACUAAGUUAAGUGCUAAGCUAGUUGAGAUCCUUCAAUGGUAUCAGAGCCGUGUUUUGACAAAAAUCUAGUUUGGGGAAGUUACUCUCGCGAUUAAGAAGGAGGGGAAUCGAAUCAAAGAGAGAACCUAACCAUAAAGACGACGACCGUCGGACUUCAACCGACGGCCGCCGGUAGUCAAACCCUAACCCUACGAGAAGAUCCAAAGAAAGGGAAACGGGGUUGGGGAGCUUAUCUUUAUUCCAAAUGUCACCGGAUCCGCUCCGGGAAGAAGCCAGGCUCCGCCGUCGACGCUUGCGCCGCUAAGGGCCUCCUCGCAGCGCCGCUCGACGGCAAUGCACUCACCCUUGGGUGAACGCAUGCGCCGACAAAGGGGGCUGUGGAGGGGCCACCAAGGCCGCUAGCGAAGGGUGGAAGGGGGAGCCGCGCGCGUCGUCGAGCUUCGAUCCGCUCCGCUGACGGCUUUGCCCGCUCCGCUUGGUGCCACCACUCACUCGCGCUUACGGCGGAGAAGGAAGGAAAUGACCUAGGGUUGACUGGGCGCGACGCGGAAGGGGGUUUUGUUUCCCCGAAAACGAUGCUCAGCCGUUGAUUACGAAUGGACAGCCGAGAUACGUCGGGCCGGCUUUCGGCCAAGACGGAAGGUGGAAUUGGCGGCUCAGGCCUAGGCUAGCCUAGGAAAGCCACACGGGCAAACACGUUAAGCAGGGCGGGUCAUAUUGUCGCGUGGGCCGGCAGAACCGUAAACUUUGAGCCCUUUUUUUCCUUUUUCUUUUUUCAGCGAAUUUACGUAUUUUUCCUAGAAAUUGAUUAAUGGCUAAAGUAAAAUUAGUUUUUAAGGAAUUUUUUUCCUGUGGGUAAAAUUCAUGAAUUAAGUUUGAGGCUCAGUAAGCUUCCGCUGUGUUAAGUUUAAGUUAAGUUGAAUUUUUGGCAUUAUUUUGCCAAUUUAAGCAUUAAGUCAAGAUUUUUUAUUUAUCUUUCUAGUUAAAUUGGAACCAACGGGAAACUUUAAUUAGAAAAUAAGUAAUUUUUCUGAGUAUAAUAAUUUUAUCUACUUACCAACGUUGUUGAUAAGAUUAUUACAGUAGCAAGUUUUAUUUUGUCAUUAUUGAUUCUAUUUCUUCCCAACGGUGAUGUAGAAUUAAUAUUGAUAUUUCAUGUUUUAAUUCGACCUACGUGGAAUUAAUUCAUGUGUUGUUUUGUUUCUGAAUUUUAUUUUUCAUGCAAUCCAUUAAGUUAUAUUUCGUCCAUAGAGCCUCACAAUGGAGGGAUUUACGACUCAUGGUGAAAGAAGAUUGAGAUAGCGCUUGCGCUGUCAGACAUUGAUCUCACACUGACAACUGAUUGCUCCGUUGCUCCUGAGGACCCCGUGAGGGGUGAAAAUGAGCGAUGAGGAUUUCACCACCCGAGUACGUGAGCAUGCACCACCUGUUAGAGCGAAGUAUGAUCUUGAUCGUGUGCAAUGGGAUCAAUCGAACCGCAAGUGCUUGAUGGUGAUUAAGAGCUCCAUUGAGGGGGCAAUAAGGGAAGCAAUCCCAGAAUGUACCACCGCUACUCCCUAAGGAAGGUGGAGAGUUAGUUUACUGGCUCUUCAAAAGCUUAUGCAAGCACUCUUAUUAAGGGCUCCUUUGGCAGGGCUCCUCGCGAGGGGCUCCUCGUGCGGAGCCGGAGCCGGAGCCGCGGAGCUACUUUUUUGGGCUCCUCCAUGCAGGUCUAAAACGGCUCCGGCUCCUCCCAAAUGUGCCAAAAAAUGGCUCCGCGGUCAAUGCCGUUUGGUGCGGCUCCGGCUCCUCCGUGCUUCGGUAAGCGCACGGAGCCGGAGCGGGAGCCCUGCCAAACUGGCCCUAAGAUUCUUGUCAUUGAGAAAUAUACUGGUGGAGGGGUAAGAGAGCAUAUAUUGAGGAUGAGUAACAUGGCAUCCAAGCUCAAGCCUAUGGACAUGGGGCUCAGUGAUGAGUUUCUAGUUCAUUUAAUUUUUGCCUCUUACGAGCAGGUCCCACUGGUCAUUGAGAUAAAGAGGAGGUAGGCUGGGCCGGGAAUUGGAUAGGAAGGAUUUUGGCCCAAUUAAACUAGCUCGGUUUCUAAUUCAAACGAAAUCGAAUUCAAAUGAAUUUUGAAAUAUAAUUUUCAUCCAAUAAAAACCUAGUGCAAACUAUACGGCAUGAAUGCACAAAACAAAAUUAUAUAACCUAUAUUGAUUAUUUAUUUAGAAAAAUACAUAUUUUUCUAUAAUCAAAUGUUUUGCAACGAACUAAUUGUUGGAAAAUUUUAGAAAUACGAGAAAAAUCUAUUGUUUUAUUAGUGUUAAUUGUUCACAUCCCAAAAUAGAAAUUUUGGGGUGUGACACAUGGGACAUGGCACGGGAUGAUGGGACGAUGGCAGGAGAGAGGACGAUGGGUGGGUUCCAGUUCCUCGCUUGCCGGCCGGCUGGGUCGCCGUCGCCGCUGCCGAUGCCGGAGCGAGUCCGUGCCGGCCCCCCGUACGAAGCCGCUGCGAGCGAGAGGGCGCGGCGCCCGGCUCGAGAAAUCCCUUUCGAUCGCGUGGGUGCCACUCCGGCGUCUCCGCGCGGGCCACCUCACCUGGUACACGCGCGCUGUGAACGCGUGACCGCGCCGCGCUGCGAAAUCAUGGUCCCGUCGAGCGCAAUGAUCCGUCAUCGGUCGAUCCUGUCCAGGUUCCCUGCUGCGUGCCGUGCCGUGGAUAACUGCCGGCCGGUCCCAACGGCACAGUCCUGUCUGCGAUUGAUGCUACGCUUUUCCUGUGCAAGCGCCAUUGAGUGCGGUGUUUCAGUCUUUCAGAGGUGCAGGUGCAACAACCGGGGGGCGGUGAGCGCGGAUGAGGCAAACACACGGCACGGGACGGCGGUUUUCGAUCGCUCAACCCUCAGUAUCGGAUCAUGUCUUUUGCUCAUACCAAAGCAAGCUGAUGAUAGACGAGGAAUCAUCUGUCGUACGAUGGAGGCAUGGAGCAAUGGAGCAUGUAUCUCAAUCCUCACAAACUAGCAUCCAUGGCGAUGGUCUAAGGUGGUGCCCCACAGAACGGCAUUAGCUUUGCUGUCCAGGGGGUAGUGCUGCGCCUAGGUGCAGGACCAGCGAACCAACGCGACGGCCAACGGUAAAUGAAGCCUUCGGGCACGGUACACGCGCUUGGUCUUUACAGUGUUCGAUUCUUCCGGCUUCUACUGCAUCAUCCACACUCCCUCCGUUUGGUGGUCAUACUGUACGCACAUGUCGUUUCCGACGUAGCUGGAAAAGGCUACAUGGGUCUUUCCUUGCUUGUGCUCUACUGCUCUGCACAGCUCUCAUCUCCUGUGCUUGCGCCUCACGCGGCAUGUGAGGACGAUGCUGCUGCCCUGCUGGGAUAAGCGCCCGUGCCAUCGUCAGGGGUACAAGCACAGGAGUUCCCACUGCAUCCCAGUCCAGUCCCUACGACCCACCGAUGGCAGUCGCUACCUUCUUGCCCCUGCCGCCCUCUUCCUCUUCUCCCAUGAUAGCUCCUCGAAUGAAUGAUCGUACACACUGCAGCGUGAGAAGCUGUAGCUACUUAUGGGUAAAGAUGGAGCAGCAGCCGCAUGGAAUGACCGCAGCGACCGGCUUGAUUUCUUCACCCACCGUUGUUACAGCCCGGCCACCAGUGAUAUAAUUGAUCUCACGUCCUCAAUUAGUACAUCCAUGGAGUAAAGAAAAACAAUUAGUACGUCCUUGUUAAGAUUCAUCGUGACGGCCGGCUCAUAUAUGGUGCCUCUGGCCAGGGUGUUAGUGCAGGAGCAGGCAAUCUUCAGAACAUGCGAAGUGCUCUUCAGGCCGAACGGGAAGCAUGUCGAUCUACAAAACCAUUUGCUAUGCAUUGCAUCUGGUUCUGGCAUGGGCAAGAUCAUCAUUGAAACAGAUGGGCUCACGGUGCAGCAGCAUGCAUUGGAAAGCUCAACCCAUCAUCUUUCAAUUCUCCGAGUCCUUUUCAGAGAAGUCAAGCUCCAGCUGUUCGAUUGGAGUCUAAAAUGCUUAUUGUACACGAUCAUGUAAACUGAUUCGUGGCCUGACUCGAUUCUGAUAGGUAUUACCGAAUUGUGACCAGCGAUUUAGCAAAAUCCAAAUAGUUUAGUUUGUUUCCUCACAAAGAUUAGGUUUGACAGAAAGCUGCAUGCUAAACUGACGAGUGGGCAUGCACUUGGCUCUUGUUCUUUGCCACCAGCAGCUUUGCGAAAGAGGUUCUUUUGUAGAGUACUACGUUAGUGAUCGGUCCCUGUCACCGAUAACGGAGUCCGGUUUGUAGCCAGAUUACGGUGGCGUCGCUUUCAUACUUUCACAUAAUCGACCCCUCUAAGAAGCUAAGUUCACCACACUGGUUCUUCACGGCUCUCUGCAGCUACCAAACAGAACCACUCAGUAGGUUUGGUGGCCUCACAAGCAUGCUUAGUUCUCUGGCGUAGAGCUAGAUCGAAAGAAACCAGAUCGCCCUGAAUUCACGGUGCAUACCGCUCCCAAGGAACACCACCACUCCCAAGGACAGAUGGAAGAAGAUGAAGCUGGACGGACCGAGGAAGUCGAAGCGGAGGAGGAAGACGAAGCGAUACGGACGAGACGAGAGGAUAAGAUUGCGGAGCUGCGGUUCACGCGCUUUGACCUGUGGGACCCACGUCCAGGGGCUCUCGCGUUAGAGAUAAGCAGAGAGUACCCUCUCUCUAGUCACCUCCAUUUUUUUUUUGAGUGGCUACUGCAGGACCAACGAAUGGAUCAAUGGGUCACGGAAGGAAUGGAUCCACAUAUUGACACGUGCGUUACUACGGGCAAAGUGUAUGUGUAUACAUUAUCGAUUGCUUUUACGAUUCUAAACAAUAACGCUGUAUAUCCCAUGCAAUCUCAGCCGUUUAACGAUGAUAUGACGAUCACAACACCACGAAUCUAAUCCUGAUAAAUAAAAAAAACAAUCCACAAGCCAAUUCCAUGAAACCCUGGCUUCAACUUCUUCUCUUUCAAGUUUUACAAGAGGAACCGGUGCGACUGCCAGUUCUCCGCGUUCGGUUUUUCACUCUUCCACUUGGCCCCGAAUUCACAAUGCAUCCCACUCCGAUCCGAUCCGAUCCCCAGCAAGAACACACCCCCGUCCAUGUCUUCCUUGCCGCUCUCCUCUUCUCUCAUUCUAGUUGCCCCCUCUCCUCCUCUCUCUCAUUCUCGUCUUAUUAGCAGGUAUAUGUGGACAAAGUCUCCAUUUUCAGGCACCUCGAGAGGAGCCGGAGAGGUGAAGUAUUUGUAGGGCCGGCGGGGAGUGAGCGACUUGAGUUCCUCACCCACCAGCCGGGCCACGGCCACAAUUUGAUCUUGUCAUGCCCAGCAUGUACAUGCUCCAAGACAAUAUUGGCAAAAAAAAACAAGGCGAGGACGGUUGCUUGACGAACAUUCAACACAUCUUUUGUACACGGAGUGAGUGACUUGAGUGUUCCUCACCCACCAGCCGGGCCACGAGCCCACAACCGUAUAUAAUUUGAUCUUGCUAUGCUCAGCAUGUAGUACAUUCUUCAAGGCAAUAUUGGCAAUCAUUCAGGAGUAGUAGUAACGAAAACAAGACGAACAUUCAACAGAUCUUCUACCCACAUUACUAUUCCGGGCGGCCACAACUGGGAUCACGAAACCGAUUCACUAUCAGUCUAUCAUGCAUGAUAUGGCUGCCUGUAUGAAAUCUGGAGAAUUAUUAUCAACUAGCAUUACGAUUUACAAAUUUGCAAUGCAAGUUGGACACCAUCCUCCGGCAGCAGCCUAGCACCUACAGCAGGCAGCAUCUGAGGUCCGCGCAUGAGGCUCAAGCGACCAGGAUCAACAGGCGCAUACAUGUAUGGAUGCAAGCAGACGCAGCCAUGCGCUGGGCAUUGAAGAGUUCCUCAGGUGAGGGCCCUAACCUGGCUCCGCCGCUUCAGGGGACAGCUCUGUCGUGGCUCCGCCACUGUACCCAACCAUUGUUGCUGCCCUGCAUGUUCGUCUACAAAAGAUGGAGCCACCAUUGCGUCCUCCUCUCCGAAUUCCUAUUGCAUCUCACUCCCAUGACACACACCGACGGCGCUCUACAUUUCCGUGUCUGCUUCUCCCACUCUUCUUGGAAGCCGAGUGGUAUGACGAACCACAUUUGCAGCUUCAAUUGUUGGUGACGGCGCAGUGAGAAGCUAGUACCUAUUUAUAAGGUAGGAUGCAGAGCGACUGACUUCAGACCGACCGGACAAAGGCGGCGCCUGCUUCGUGUUGUUGGGCUAAUGCAUGGCUACGUGGGCUGUGUUCCUGUUGGGCUCCAACAACGCAGCCUAGAAUUGUAGUAACGCACCCGACAAAUAAACAGGCGUGACCUUUUUUCCCCCUCUCUACUUUUGUACCACAUGGGCAGGUAAAAUGGGUCUAGCAUCGUUCAUAUGUGAACAUGCAACCAUUGCCACCAGACCGCGUGGAAGGCGUGGUUAGCAAACUCUCAUAUGAAUUAUUGGGAUAAAAUUCAUGAAGCACACUAAAUGAUGUGCUUAGCCUUUUUGUUUCUGAUCUUUUUUUUUGUUUUCAAGAAACAUUUGUCUUCCUUUCAAAAAAAAGAGAAACAAUUGUCGUCCAAUGAUGAUCUCAACUACCCAAGAGUAAAGAAAAACAGGAAAAGAAUUAGUUUCCUCCCUCCCCUGCCGAGUGACCAUUUUCUUUUUUCAAGAAACAUUUGUCGUCCAAUGAUGCUUUCAAUUAUCCAAGAGUAAAGAAAAACAAGAAAAGAAGUUUCCUCAGCUCGCCCGGCCCAGUCGCGCGCACAAAACGCAGUAGCGCGGCCCGCAUGAUGGGCCUGCCGAGCACUUCCGAAGAAAGCCGUGAGAUUACAGCCUGUAUGAAAUCUGGACAGAUUUAGGGCUGCUGCGAGCCUGCGACUAUGAAUGACACAGAUAAUUCAACAUUCCAACAUACUGCAGUACAAAACCACCUCAGUAUCAUGAGAUGCCUGACUGCACGUUAUCUGGAUGAUUUUCACAUAAUUUGGACACAGCACAAGGCAACAAGCCCUAGUUAGCUAGGCAGGGAUCGAAAACCAGAGCCGCACUUGAACCUGAACAACCCAACACGCAAUAUCCAAAAGAAUCGAUCAUAAGCUAACAGUUGGAUGUACAUCUACCAGUAUUGUUAGCUUCUAUAACGUUACUGAAGCGGAAUGUAACCAGACGAGCAAAACAGCAUUGUACAAACCCAUGUCAUGCUAGAGUUAACCCUGUAACUUAAAAGGCUAAUGCAAACCUAUACAAAAUCUAAUCAACCCUGUCAAGAUGAAUCCCCUUGCAGCAUAUACAAAAUAAGGAUUGCAACCGACUGUUAGAAGCAAUUUGAAAGAAUGAAUCAUCAGGUUGUCUUGUUUGAUCUGGUGCAAUAUCUAAGGCUCCACAAAAGAAAUCAUGGGGAAAGGGAAUGCCUCCUCAUGCUUGCCGGUGGCAGUGACUGCUAUCUCCUUCCUGCUCAGAUGGAGAAUAAACAAGAUGAGUACCAACUGAAAAGAAUAUGAUUGCUCGCAUGUGGAGUAUACUGGGGGAAUAAACUCUGCUUUUUGUGAAUUUGGCAACUUGAUAUUGUAUGGAAUUACUAUAGACCAACAGAUAGGUUGACAGAAAUGGAAAGAAAAUCAGCAUAACAUGUUUGCAAUGUGCAGUGCUAAUCAUCAUUAGGUGAUUAAUUCUGUUCGAAAAACUGUGGGACAAGAUUAACACAUGUUGUUUCUUUGAAUGGGGUGGCUAUGACAUCCACCAUCAACAUGUGCUGCUUAAAUACAACGCAUAGAAAACUUUGCAACUUCAAAUUCAGACAUAGCAAUUAAGCAUUGUCCAUUUCAAAUAUCUGCCACAAACCAUCACUACACAGUGAUUAUUGAACUUUGGACAGAACAAGGAAAAAGAACAUGUUAAAUAUUCCAAGGAAAAGAUGUGUGUAAAGCAAAAUUGAGACUCACCUUGAAUGUCAUAUAUAUACCAGCCACUUGGAGAUAUCCAAAUCAUUGCACAAUCUUAAGCAACAUUACUCCAACAUUCUGAGCGGUAAUGUGAAGCAUGGGAAGGAAAUGGUACCUAACUAAUCCCUAGGUCAGCCCUAUUGAGAAUGUUAUAGCUUAACCUCGAGUCAAUUAUUCUUCUGCUUAGCUAGUCCGAUCAGAAUAUUUCCCUAAGGAAAUCCAAAAAUAGCCUUUUCCUUAUUAUAGAUUACUGCUAUGAGGCAAUUUGAGUUGACAGUCAGCAGAAUUUUCAACCAGAGCAGCAGCAAGCAACAAACGGGGGAGCUAAGGGCACUCAUGCUGAGGGUUUGAAGUCCUUUGACUGAGUACACUAUAAAGUCACUACCACCUGAAAGUCAAUGUCAUGCUCAGCAGGAACAGCCUUCUCAGAAUCAUCCUUGGAUGGCAAAACAAGAGAUUCCUUGACCGGACCAGUUUCAGGUGUAACGACCAACGCCUCUUUGCCAGAUAUUCUAAUGUUGUUGAAGUGUUCAGCUAGAAAAUCACCUGAAUCUUUUGGGAUUCUAUUAUUCUCCAGCUCUUCCAAGUUGUUAUGAUUAUCAAGCUUCAGGCUAUUAAAACCAUCGAGUUCCAUAUGACAUCGUGUUUCUUCAGCAGCAAACUUGCUACUUGCAAUACCAUCAAGCUCCCCUUGACUGUUAUGGUCAUUGAGCCCUUUCCAAUUGUACUGUCCAUCUAGUUCGUUCAGAUAACUAUGAUUCUUAAGCUCUUUGUCAGUUCUACAGCUGUCAAGAUCGUUCAGAUUGAUGUGAUUGUUGAGCUCUUUCAGACAAUUAUCGUCACCAGGCUCUUUCUCAGAGCCAGGACUGUCAAGCUCUUUCACUUCAUUAUGGGCAUCUAGCUCUUUCAAACUUUUAUUAGCAUCCAGUUCUUUCUCGAUGCUAUGAGUAUCAACCUCUUUCAGAUUGCUAUGAUCAUUCAGCUCCUCUAGAGAACUAUUAUCACUGAGCACUUUCUCAGCAAUAUGACCAUUGAGCCGUCUCUCAAUGUCAACCUCCUUCAGAUUACUAUGAUCAUGAUCUUUCUGACUACCAUGAGCAUCAAGAUCUUUUGAACAACUGGGGUCCUCGUCCUCUACAAACUUGUCGAUGCUGUGCUCCUCAUCCUCUACAAACUUGAUGCCGUGAUCCUUAUCUGAUUCAGUCUGUGCAUAUGGACAGACAGGUAAACUUCUCAGACGGCAUCUAUGGCACUUGAAACCAAUGAGAUUGUUCACAUUCUCAACGGUAACAGAGUAUAUAUCCCCAUGAAACCAAUCUGAAAGCAAAAGCAAAUGUAAUAAGGAUUAUGGGAUGCAAAAUAUGAAAACUUCCCAACACAUGAAGAGCAACAAAGAAAAAUCAUACACAUCCAACAUAUAAAACUGCAACAACAAUUACUUGUGACUAGUGCUCCUAUGUUCUUCCAAGUGAAAAUCACAGAUUUCUACUACUCUACAAACAAUACACUUUGCAAUUUGUUUAAAUUAAUUUGUAGGACAUAAGAGCACUACUGCUUCCUUGCUGAGUCGUGAGGAAGGAUGCUCCUUUGCACAGACAACACAACCAGACAGAAAUACUUAAAAGUAGCUUAGAACAAAAGAAAAAUAAUACCUCGGUUCUUUCAUUCUUUUUUGUUGUUUAGCUAUUCAAAAGUGUGUAGUUAUAGGAUUUCGAGUACUUGCAUCUACUCCAUUUAAAGAUUGAUAUGUUUUUCCAUUUAAUUCCUCGUUGGUUGCCACAGGUGGUUGCGGAAACAAACUCAAUGAAGCACUCCUUCCGUUUCUACUUGGCACUUUUGACCAACUGCAUGCAUAUUUAGGCAAUCAUAUUUUGAAUUGGGUUGGACAAUUACCCUUGUAACAGCUGCCCAACCUAACUACUGGUGCCAGCUGAAAAAUGUUUUCCUCCACUCUCAGCAUAAGUGCAAGAACACGAGUCAUCUCAUUGGUCCCAGUGUUAGCCGCAAUUUUGUUUUCCCUCUAAAAAGUCUGCAAUUAUUUUCUUUCAAGCUUUGCAAUGCUACGAAGAAACAUUCAACACAGCAUUGGAACUGGAUAAUUUGUAAAAGCUGCCUAAACGAGCUGCUGGUGCCAGCUGAAAAAUGUUCUCUUCCGUUCUCUGGAUAUGCGCAAGCACAUGUGCCAUCUCAUUGGUGCCAAUGUUACCGCAGCUUUUGUUUUUUCCUAUAAAAAAAAGGCUGCAAUGCUUUCCUUUUCGAGCUUUGGAAUAUCGCUGACUAGCGCAGUGGCACGGCUACACCUCUUGAUUGAUCACAAUGACAAAACUGGAAAAUGACGCAUUGGCAAAUACGUGGUGCGCCAAAAAUUUGGGGAAGGAAAACUCGGUCACAUGUGCCAAGUAUUAUGAAGCAGAGGGUGUAGUACGCAACACAGCUUUAGUAGGGAGAGGGACAUGUAGAACUUUCCAUAAUAACCGUGCCCAAGGCUAAAACGACAAAAAAACAAACAGAAGGGGUAAUAGUCAAAUAGUUUCAAAGAGGAUGAUCGCCUAAAUAGGUAGGUGCCUACUGUACACACUAUGUAAUAAAAACACAUAAUAAAGAAGAUUGUUUUUUCUCACAUAAUAGCUAACUGACCAUGAAGUUGUUCUAAGAUCACAAAGAGAUGUCAUGCAAGCAAAGCUCUGCUUACCUUCACAUUUUUCACAAGCAAUAUAAAUAUCCUCUUCACUGUAGCAUUUGUCACACAAACAGCAUACUGGGCUGACUUCAGACAUUUCAGCAUCUUCGGAUGGAAAAACUACUCUUUCUUUCCUGAAACUUAUUGCCCGUUCAUCAUGUGGAUUUUGUGUCCAUCGAAGGCCAUUUAACCAGUAUGAAUACUGCAAAGCAGUCCGCUUCCUCUUGCGACAGCUAGCUGCAUGCUCGGAUACGUUUGAGCUGCCUUUCAUGUACUUAUCAUACAAUCGUUUUGAUAUACGUUUCACUGGUUCAUUUUUGGGCACAUUGGAAGAUUCACUCUCACGCAUCUUGGGUAAUUCACUCUUUGAUGGAUCCAGUGGGUACUUCCUAGGCCGACCACGCUUACCCUUUUUGCCAAUUUUCUUCUUGUAUUUGAGAACAAUCUGAUUUCUCCUAGUCACAAUCUUGUGUGAUCGCUUCUUUUGUUUCUUUUGCUUCUUUUUGGGAGAUGACUUCUUUGGUGCAGCCUUUUUCUGAGGAGACUUCACCUUUAAGACCUUUUCAGCUAAGCACUUGUUGCAAACAUAAACAGUAUCUGCAGCACCUCUAGGAACCUUGAAAUGUUUUCUAUGGAAAAGAGCUGCAUCGGAUAAGAUAAAGUACAUAAGUGACAAACUUAGGAAUAACUGCAAAUAAAACUCCACGCAUCAACAACCCAAGUAAAAGGAAAAAACUUAACAGUUGAUGAUUGAUUAGCUAGUGCAAUAUUAACAGUCGAUGGAAAUUUCUUUUAUCCAAUGGCAACAUAGGAGACCACAGAAAAUGCAUGUAAAAAUAAGAACUUGAGGGUUAUAGUUAUGCAUAUGCAAAACGACAAAGAUGUGCACGUGCAACAGGGCAUACCUGCGCAAUACUGGCAGUUCACAGCUUCCCUGUUGAAAAAGAGAUUGAAAGAGUCAGAUUAACUAGUCAAAAGAAUUUACUAUGAUACAAAAGAAGCAAAUAACAAAUAUAUUGCCACAUUUAGAACACGAUGCAAGAGUUUACUGGCCAAACAAAUAGCUGCAAGAAUCAAAAACUACCAUACACAGUUCCUAUAUAUAGCAUAACUGAUCUGAUGUGCCCCUGAAAUCCAUAUGUGCUCUGGUCCCGUUUGGAGGCAAAGGGUGUGUUAGUUUUUCCUUUCUAGUUGUUACUCUGCUGUUGUCUUACUCAUGUGUAUGUCGCUGAGUUACUUUGAACUCUAAACUCUGACCAUUUUGGUCCUAUUGCAAUGUAAAUGGGCCGGGGGUCACCCCUAGAACUCUAGAAAAAUAUAUACCAUAACAAGCUUUCCAGAGUAAUUAGCUCACUUGAAUAACUUGUUCAGAAAUAGCACCACAAGUUAGAUUGGUAAUCAUGCACCUAGACGGUUUAGAAAACAACACUAAAUUCUAACACAGCACAAUUUAAUAAGGUAAGAAACCUAUUAACACACUGGCUGGUAAACACUCCUAGAAAAGUAUAAUGAUUGUAUCUGAAUGUGUGUGUAAGUGUGUGGUGGUGGUGGUGUGUGUGUGUGGGGGGGGGGGGGGGGGGGUGUUGAAGGUUUAUAGCAGAUCAGUUUUUGCAAGGCAUAUAUAAGUAUAAAAGAGUUAAAAAUGCCACUGUACCGAGGCCCUAAUCUGCGUAUCGCAGCUAUCUAACACAUACUGCAUCCUAACAGCGGAUACGAAACAUUACAACAGCACAUCACUCAUGCAUUGUACUGAGUAGCAACAGAUAUUGGCAUAACAAAAUAAUCCAAAAUCGUGAAAAAAAAUCUUAUAUCUAUAACGUUCACAACUUGGACAAAAUUUAUAAGUUUAACUAGUUUGUUUGAACUGAGCUAAACCUUAAGCAAUUGCUGCUAAUAAUUGAUAGGGUUAGGGUGAGUAUGCUGUGGUUGAGAAAAAAUAAAUAAAAGAAACUAUUAGAAGGGAGAGGAAAAAGGUAAGUGUCAUACCUUGCAACCACUUCCUUGUUACAAUGACCACAAAGCCUGGUGGAUUGCUUUUCUGCUCUUUCAAAGAGGUAAGCAAACCCGGUCUUUUUUGGCAUUUUGGGUUUGGAGUCACGCACCUUCUUAGUCUUCUUAGGAAGUUCAUCAGUUUCCUUCUUUUUCAGCAGGCGAGCAAACGCUUUGGCUUCAUAUGCCUUCAAUAGAUUCAGAGGGACAUGGCCUUCACUUAACCAGUACCUGUUCCUCUCGCUAGAGGGAUCCUCAAAUUUUGUUCCGUGUUUAGAAAUAACAGGAGGAAUGUUCUCUCUCUUUCCAAAAUCAAGUAGAUAUUCAACAUUUGUUCCUUCUAUGCGUUUUCUUCGAAUUAUAACUUUCUUAAAAAGCCUUGCUAUUUUCUGCAUUUCCUUGGUCAUGAGGCUAGAAGGGAGAGUGCUCAGUAUCUCAGUCCACUUGAUAUUCCAUUCAAGCUCUUUAAUCUGCAGGUACACGAGGAGAACAAUUUAAUGACCAAAUUUUACUGAUUGUUUUUCAAAACAAGCUAUUACCUGCAAAAUGAGCUGGGCCACAUUUUCUGCCAUUUCCACAGCAGCUCGCCAAGCAAUGUAUUUGAACCUCCGAGCAAAUUGUGAACCAUCGGUGUACAAAAUCGUUGGAAUUUUCCUACGUCCCGCUGAAGUAUACCAGGUCAAAAAGGUUUAGCACAAAUACAAUAGUAGCAAAAAUCUAAAAAUUGACAGAAGGUUGGUUUGGUCAUAAACCUUGCCGAGCAGCUUUGUAGACCAGUGACUGAGGCAACCUCUUCCAAUGAAACACUUGACGAGAUAAUUUUCCGCCCCUCCACCAAUAAACACCAACAUUACGAGAGUCAACUUUAAGUUCACCAUUAGAAGAUGGUUUCCUCCCUGGCUUUCUAGCAGUUCCAUGACUUAGAGAUUUAUUAGAUGAACGGACCAAUAUGUGAGCUGCAGAACCAACCACUUCAACAGAGUCUGCCGGUUUCUGCCAUUCCAUAGAAAUGGCAACACGUCGCAGACUGGACUCUAACUGCAGAGUAUGGCAGAAAAGUAUGUAUCAUUGUAGGGUAUACAGAAUUAGGAAAAAAAAAACAUAAGACAGAAGCAUAUGACAAGUUAUACCAUUAGAAGAGGCUGCUUAAGUGAUGAUACAUCUGCAGCCUUGAGAACCUCCUUACGCCAAUAUAUGCGAUAUUGUGGAUUUUGCCAAGGACCAGUCAGCAGACCAUUCAACCUUUCUUCAAUUGACAAAAUGUUAUGCAUAGCAAGGAUGAUAUGACUUUCCAUAUUUUUUUCUGCUUCGACACCCAAAGCAUGUGGCUUGGUGCCUUCCAUGCAUUUAACAUCAGUUACUCUGAAAAUGCAGUCAACGCCGCCACUGAUUUGACAGGAGUUGCACCAUCCACACUUUUCUUUAAGCAGCUCGACAGAAAGCUUUUGAUCAGUUAGUGCAAAAAUGUUAGCAUAUUUUUUACAUAUUGUUCUCAGAUGGAAAGAGAGUGCAUCCUGAACAGGUUUCUUCCCUUCCUUGUUUUCAGACAGCUUGUGUUUUAGCUCUUCAGCAGCUGAAGCUGCUAUUUGACCAAAGCUGUAAUAGUUUAUGUACCUAGCAAGAUCUGAAUGGAGAUGCCAAUAACUUUGCUUUUUCUUAGGUGGUGAAUCUUUCUGAUUCUCUGCAGAUAAACCAUUACCAUGUGAAUGAACGUCUUCCUGGGAAUUGCAGUGAUCAUUCUUAGCACUAGAGGAUCCAUUUUGAGGUAUUUGAUUUGAAUCACCUUCAGCAGCAUUUUCACUUCGAGACAUAAGUGCAGAUCUAAAUGUGAUGCUCCGGAGUGACAAAUCUUGAUCCAAUUGAUCAGAAUUUGAGGUGCAAGCUUUCCCAGAAUCCAAUUGUUCAAAGGAGUUGUCCUGUUCUACCUUAAACUGGUCAUGUUCACUACGUUGCUUCAGUCGUGAUGAAAGUCUGCAGUUUGUCUCAGCAUCAGAUGUACUACAUUCCCUGCUACUCUGAUACCGACCGUUAAGAUUGGGUGACUCGAUUGCAGUACCGUAAAACGAAGAUAUUGUAUUAACAAUUGAUCCGUACGACGGAUGACAUGUGUUCAACACUGUAACAAGGGAAUGAAGAUCGACCUGGCCAUAGUAAUGACAUGGAGGGCUCCCCUCAUAUGAGUCAAUCCUGCAAGUUCAGAGGGUCUUUGUUUAUUAAUGUAGCAAGAAGUAACUAUCUGAUACAUACAGGAUCGAUCAGAGAGUAAACACAUCAUGUCUCACUUCUGCAAUAUGAAUUGCUCACUUUUCGGCAAACCCUUAAUCAAUGAGCCUACAGUAUCAUAACAACUGGAUCUUACUAAAUCAGGGUAUCACAAAUUUCCUUGUUUUAUUCCAGAGAAUCUUAAUACAGCAUAGUCUUCCAUCUUUUAGGAAAAAGUGCUAGUACAUAGCACAGAAAUUGUAUUUUCUUGUGGUCUCGUACAACAUCAAGGUAUGAGUAUGACCAUACCCUGGGUUAUUCAGUAAGUUCAACUUUUUUCGCACCUCUAAGCAAGAAAAACAAGAAAUAUGUAUGUUCUGCCUAGCAUGUCGAAAGUCAAACCAUUGCUAAUCCCACAAUGUAUUCCUAGGCCCACAUGUCCCUAGCAGCUUUUAUAGAAAUAAUCAUAUGAUUGUUGCAGCUUACAUGUUCUAUGGACAGGUGCCACCCAGAAGAAACAAGAGAAAUAGAGCAUCCUAGGUGAAGCUCAUAGACAAGAGAAAAAUGUUAAAGCUUACAUUAUUGUUCCUCAAUCCUAAGGUGACUUUAUUAUCUGAAUGGUAGAGUACUAGAGCGAUGCAAUCUUCACACUUAGAUUUUGUACGGUACAGGAUGGCAAUGUAGCAGAGGAAUACUCAAAUUCACACAGAGCCCCAAAAAAAACAUGGAAGGGAUAGAUGGUGACUUACACCAAAAGAUAGCCGCAAGUGCCGAAGUAUAGUCGGCCAUGUGGAUCAAUUCCCAGAACCUCUGCUCCUCUCAUAGGACUUGCCAUAUUUCUAGAUCCAUCAUUCUUCUGUAUUAAACAUUCAGGACAAUACCAAUCACCUUCAGGCAAUAGAUCCUCCACCACCCCCACACAUUUUGAAUGAAAGGCAGCUGGACAGCCAUCACAGCAUAACAAAUUACCAUCCAUGCCACAAAGAUAACAUUCAUCACUAUUACCAUCAUCCAUUUCAUCAGAGCCUUCUGGAGGCUGAGAAGAAUCCGCUGCACCCUUGGCAGAAGAGGCCCUCUUUUUUCUUCUUAAACCAGUGCUUCUGAAGCCCUCAUCAUUUCCAUCCAACUCUGACAUCCUUGACCGUAUAGCCCCAAUCGCCAGAACAUCAUCAGAGAGUGAAUGCAGCAGCUCGAGUUUUACCACUGCAGGCUGCCUGUAGUACUCUGUACUCAACAGCUUUAAAUCUGUAAGCUUCAUACCAUACCUCAAUUCCGUGCCCCUGGUUAGCAAGUAUUCAGCAAGAUAGAUUGGCCAAGUUGCUAGGUCUAACAGCUCCCAGUUAAGAUUCCUACAAAGACAAUAUAGUGGGUAACUUGAGAAACAUAUUUUUCAUCACGUAGAGCUCUCUAAGCUUAGGAUACAGAGAAGGGCAUUUUACCUAAUGCAGUGCACUGCCGACGGGUCUCCUUCAUUGGCGAAAUCUUCCAGGUGGCUCUUGAGAGCUCUCAGCAGAGCGAAAUGCACCCAGUCAAUCAAAGGAUUCGCAUGCGUGCAAUGCAGCGCAGCCACAAAUGUGUCCAGUGGAAAUGGGCUCAGGAAUAGCUGCCUGCUAAAUGACCUUAAGCAGGAGUAGACUUGAAAGACGUCGAGGACAGGGAGGCCACCCAAAUCUAAACCCUGCGAUGACGGUGGCAGCUCAGGUUUAGGUGGCAGUGCCGGCUUCAGCUUCGGCGACGGUUUCUUCACCACAGCUUCCUCCAAAUCCCUGGAGACAGAGCGAUAACGCCCACUUCCAUUUGCACGGGGACGCUUCCUCCCAGACUGCUGCGGCGUGGAAGCAGCCGCCGCCUCAGCCUCAGCGGCCUCCGCAGCAGCCGCCACAGCCGCCGCGGCCUCCAUCUCAGCCGCCCGCUCGGCCGCCUUCGCCUGCCGCGCGCUCCGCCGCAGCGGCCUGGACGACGACACGGGCCCGGGGCUGAUCCUCCGCUUCUUCUCCGCCGCCGCCGCCUCCCCGCUCGCCUCGGCCGGCGUCGCGGGCUCGGUUUCCCCAUCCGACGACCCGCCGCCCGCGGGGACCGCCAGCACGACGCCGUCCCCCGGCGGCGCGGCCUUGGCCGGGGACGGGGACUCAUCAUCCCCGCGCCGGCGCUUCUUCGGGCGCCUCCCCGCGGCGUCCCGCUGCGGUGUCCGCUGCAGCGCCUCCGGCAUCGCGGGGCCGACGAGUAUCUCGGCCAUCUCGUCGGCGUCGACCUCCUCCGAGUCCCCGUCCUCGUAGAGCACGCGGAAGUAGCCCGCGUCGGCGUCGUAGGACUCGACGACGCCGGCGUAGGUCCCGAACCCCGGGAACGCCUUCCUGACCGCCCUCCCCACCAGCGCCUCCAUCCCGCCCCGCCCCGCCCCGAGCGGAAUUCCUAGGGUUUGGGGCGCGGGGAGGCCAGCGCGGCGGCGGAUCGGGCGCGGCAGCCGGGGUACGGGCGGGAUCGGCGGGCGAUUAGGGCUUGCGGGGGCUGGGAAUUUCGGGUUCGCUGGCGUCCGUAGAGGGGGAAGGGGAAGGAGAAGGUGGGGGGAGAGGAAGAGGAAGGAGACGAGAGGCGUGUUAUAUCUGGCUCGGGCUGCGACUCCUUUCGGUUAGUACUGCGGAGGAGAGAAUGGAAUGGGACGAGACGAGAUGUGCGUGUGCGUCGAGUAGAGAGGGUUUUGGGAGGGAAAAUGUUUGGCUCCACCGUGACAUGGGAAGUGCCUUCGUUUGAUUUGAAAUGGAAAAUCUGGAUGGAGCUCGAGUCCACCGGGGGGUAGUCAGACAGAAUUUUGCUAUUCUCGUACUGUGGGUAAAGGUGUACUACUUCAGUACACUCGCUUUGUUGCCUAGAACGGUGGUGUUGCUAAACACUUUGCCCUGGGCCAAUAGCGUUGCUAACAAACUUCUCCUCUCGUGCAAAUUUAACAUAGAGAAAUGCUAAGUAUUUUUCUUAUUAUCUUUUUUAAAGAAAAAUAUGUAGAAAUUGUAAGCACGGUCGUUACACGGAGGAAGUUCGUGGUUACCAUGCUUGUCAACUUCUUCAUGGCGCCGUCAUUUUCUAUGGCGAACGACUUUUUCAGUACAACAUUUGUCUUUCUCCGAUGAAUUUAGGACUUUUAUGGUUAGAGUGUUAGGUUUUAAAUUUUGUUGGAAGGUCUUUUACAAAUAUGAUCACGAAGGUUAUAUGGCUUUAGUGUGAUGGCUAAAAUAUUGCUUACCAUGAUGGUGGUCGAUCAUCAGUGUGCAAGAUUAAUCGUUUGGUGACUAGAUCAGACUCAUCAGGAUGAAUUAUUAUAGACAUGAUGGGUCACCAAAGACGAGGAACAAGGCUGGUAUAGAGGAGGCAGAGAGAGGAGUCGAUUUAGAGUAGAGGACUUCUAGAGAGCCUCAUUGGAGAAGAGAAUUUUUGAGGCGAUGAUGGCGGCAAUUGGGAGCACAAAGAGAAAGAACACAUGAGUGCAUGUGAGGAGGUAGUAAGAUGAACCUAGUCGUGAGAUAGAUAGGGGUUUAGAGUUAAAAAUUAGAUCCAAAUACACUCUAAACUAAAAAGAAUUCGAGUCAAAAAAAUUUAUGCAUAACUUUAGUUACAACAUAGCUAGAUUCAGAACAAAUUUAAUGUGCAAUAAAGAAGACAUCAUAUAAACAUGUACAUUAGAGUAGGGUGUGAGCUCAUACGUGGAUACCAAAUCGAUGGCAAAUGAUGAUGGAGAUUACCGUCGAAUGAUGAUGGGUAGGAUGGUUAGCAGAAGUGACGAUGGCAAUAUGAUUGUGUUCAUGGGAUGCGCCUAUGGGUAUCAAUAUGGGAUGCAAUAGUAAGGAAGAUAGAUAUGCAUAAGGCAACUCGGGAGCGAUGCUUACACAAGUUUUAAAAAAAUGGGGUCCAAAAUUCAUCUAUUAUGAUUAUAUUUUGAGGAUUGCUAGAAUCUUUUAUGCCAAAUAAUACAUGGAUUCAAAUCUCUAACCUUUCGAUCCAUGGCAACAUUCGUGAUGAACACCUUCUGCUCCAUCUCCAGUAGUUAUAUAUUUUCGAUAGGGGGGAGGAGAUGGGCGCCUUAAGCCCCUUAGAGCAACUCCAGCAAAGUCCUUACUUGAACCCUUACUCAAAAAGUAGGGACCGAGAGAAAAAAAACGCACUCCAGCAGAGCCCCUACUCGGAUCUCUAUUAUAGGGAGGACCCUGCUUCCCCCUUCAGCCCCUUCUCCUACGGGUGGAGGGAGAACCCUCUACUUUUCUAUUUCGUUCGUUUCUCCUAGCGCACUUGCAUGGACUGCUCCUCUUCCGCCAGCUACCACCUCAAGCAAGGGCACUGGCACAAAUCGAGCAAGGGCACCGACGGUACCUUGAGCAAGGGCGGGCCUGAGCUUGUAGCGGCGCUGGCUCAACGGAUGCAGAGCCGGGGUGAGGGCAGGCCCGGCCCUGGGGGGGGGGGGGGGGUUCGAGCAGUGCGGCCGCCCUGGGCCCAAAAAACGGAGGGCCCAUCCCCAUGUAUACAUACGUAUAGGGUAUUGAGCUCCUGCUUUCUUACCUGCGUGGUUCAGACUUCAGACGUUCAGUUAAUCAGUUGGGCUAGGCCCAUAGGCUGAUGAGCACAAACAGCAGGCCAGCAGCUAAAUUCAUGAAGGCACGAACUGACGAACGGAUCGAUCAUGAAUCAUCGAUGACUGUUCGCAUGCUGCCGAAACCCUAACGCCUGAGUCUUGACGCGACGCCUGACGACAGACUAGCGAGUGGCGACUCCUCAUCUCCUCUGCAGCUCCGCGCGUGCCUCCGCCGAAACCCUGAGUCCCUGACGCGGUGAGUGCUGCCGCCGGUGACGCUGACGGGCGACGGCCUGGCUGUGCGGUGCCUGUAUGCAUGUAUCAUUGUAUGCUUGUAUCCUUGUCCGCUCCCUCUGCCUGAUCCCGUGAUCUGAUCUCCAGGAACUCGCCUCCGACCGUCCGACGCCGACAAACACAGAAACACCAUAGGCAGCCACCGAGCCACGGCCAGAAGUAAAAUAGGUAACACAAACUUGCCGAUAUUCGAAGUUCAAAACUCAUUGUAACUUAUAUAAUUUACUAAUAAUUUGAUUAAGUCGAUCCCAUCUAAUAACUUGCCCCCUUAUAGAAAUUGUUGGAUCAGAUCGAUAUUGAUGCCAUCAUCAAUGACUUCGCAUUUACAAAUGUUAGAAGAAAUUUUUGAUGUAAUAUAAAUUGCUUGAUAUGAAUAUUAGUUUUGGACACAUGAUUUAAAUGUUUUAUUAUAAUUAUUACUGCCUUUACUACUUUUAUUAGUAUAGGUCCCUCUUUUACUUUCGCACCAGGUCACAAAAGUCUCAGGACCGGGCCUGGGUGAGGGACAAGGAGCGGUGGCGUCGUGAGCUCGAGCGCCACAGGCCUUCGUCGGGACCGACCACGGCACCCCGACUCCGCCGCACCGGCCGCCGUGCUCCUGCUCCGCACCACCACGCGUGCUAGGGCCUGCUCCUUGCGCCGCCGCGCGGGCUAUCAUGUGGGAGCUGCAGCGCUGCCAUGACCGUGGCCUAGACUUGGAGCACGAGAAAGUGGACGGGGAUGGCGAGAGCCGACGGGCUCAAGUGGUGGUUGGGGGCGAGAGGAAGAUGGCUGGGAAGGCAGGGAGAGAAUAGUGCGGUGAAGAGAGAGUAGAGAGAAGAAGAUGGGAGGGGAUAAAAGAGUUGGCUCACUUACAGGAGGGGCCCAUAUGUCAUGAAAGUAGGGGCCGUGAAGUAAGGACUGUUGUUGGGGUUGUGUAUUAAAGUCCCAAAAAGUUGGGUAGCCCCACUCAAUAAAGUAGGGAUUUGAAGUAGGGGUUAUUGCUGGAGUUGCUCACCGACUGUUGGAUUUUUGAUGUGUAUACAGUAUACGAGAGAGAAGCACAUCCUAGUCAAUUUUGUUAUGCGUCUACUUAUGUCCAUCUUCGAUGAACUCACGCGAACUCCAUGGAAUUUGUUAGCUAGACCGAAUACCUAGGGUUUAAAUCCAAGUUAUCGUUUGAGGCACGUAGCUAUUGGUCUUACAAAAACCCAGGAAAGGUUAAGAAACAUAUGGGCGGCAACAUUGCCGAAUUUACGCAUUUUGAAUUUCUUGAAAUUAUGUUGCGUUAGACCGAGCUGUUCGGUGCCUGGUAGGCGAAUAGGACCAACUUAUGUGUCAAGAUUCGAGUUUACCACAGUACUAAACACGGUCCAUUAGGUAGAUGUUUCUUAGGUAUUGGUUCGUGUAGUAAGUUCAGUAGCCGUUGCAAAUUCGAAAGCAGUAGGCCAGGUCACACGGACGAUGGCGCUCUGUUCACUCCCGCCACCUCUCUAGUUUCCCCGCCAAGGGCGAGCUGUGCUCAAAGUUGCGGCGCCGUGCCGAUAUGCUCUCAUCUUGGAAGCUCCUGUGGAGAAUUAAAAAGACAUACCACCUUGUUUGGAGAUAAGGUCACGAUUCAACAAUUCAUAUCAAUAGAGUCGAACACGAAGGAUUGUACAGUAGGAUUUACCUUGUCUAAACAUCCGGCCAUCAAAGCUUCGGAGUUCGCACCUUUGGUUGAUCUGACUGGUAUAACACCUGGUUUCCUAACAGUUCAGAGUUCGAGUACCACGAGCUGCGUUCGACCUGAACAUAACAGGUCCUGAUCCCAUGAGCCAAUCGGUGACAUUUCUCAAUAAUAACCCAUGAAUCUGACAGAAACUACUCUGAAAGGUGGCCCUGCCCUGGACCGACAACUGAAACAACAGGAUGCAAUCGCAGGAUAAUAAUCACCAUUUUUCCACAAUUAACAACAGCAUCCAUCUAUCCAAUCAUGAACAAAGAAACAUGUACAAGAACAUCCAUCAGGUGAACGCCCAUAUGAACAUCAAUAUUUGCUUGCCGUUACCACGAUAUCCCACUGAUAUAGGGUCAGAUUGUCCUAAAGCCCUAUAACUCGCACAAGAAACGGGAUGAUAGACCAGGUUCUACUUACAUAUGUACCUAUAUAAAUUAGCCUCCUCGGCAUCCGGCGAGCUGCUUCGAGCCUCUUAAAAAAGCACACAGCACCAGACGCCCAGGGCUCAGCACAAGACGUAGCGCACCCAUAAACAAUUGGCUGAUGAGCCCAGCGUCACUUCACAUGGGAGUCGUAGAUGUCAAGGACCGAUUCUGGGAUGACGGUGGGCAACUUGUCUAUGUACAUGAAGAGUCGCCUCAGGUUCUCUCUUCGGACCGUCGCCAUGUCGACGAUGUCCCUGUCAUCCGUGUAUAUCCACAGGUCAGCAGAGUUUACCCUCUUGAGGCUGUCACGGCAGAAUGGACAGGACUGAGACCUUGACCUCCUGUAGCAAUAUCAUAACAUGCUUAGAACAAUAGAGCUUAUAUAUAUAGUCGAAGAAGAAGUUCACUGGAAGAAUCUGAAAGAUAUAUUUGUAGGCUAGAUAGUGAUGGUCAGAUUGACACUAACAAAACCACAUACUACUUCUGCAUUGACACGUUAAUAACACACAAAGAAUGGCAAUAGUCCUUAUUUGGCUUGAUGCAACAUCACGGGCCUAUUUGGUUAGUACUAUAUUUGCCACACCUAAAUUUAGUCCAAAAAAAUCAAUGGGAGAAUCAGAAAGAUAUCGAACUUUGUAGGCUAGAUAGUGAUGGUCAGAUUGACUCUAACAAACCACAUGCUAAUUCUUCACUGAAAUGUUAAUAGCACACACAAAGAAUGACCAUUGCCCGUAUUUGGCUUCAUGGAACAUUUCCAACAAAAGGGCACUUUCAGCAGGCAUACAGAUGAAUGCUGAUCAGGGAACAAAAAUUAUCUUUCCUAUCCAAUUGCUAAUGCUAUAAGCUGAUAGCCAAGUUCAUAGCCAGAAGGCCUUUUGCCCUUCACAUAAAUUUAUUUAGGUUUUGUCUUGUUUCUGAAUAAUGAAAAUCCUACAUCCAAACAAAAGCAGGAGAUGACAUGACAUGUUCUAACUUGCAAGCAAACAAGCUGAACGGAUAUCUCAUGGAAAACACUCCAGAAUCACCAAAACAUAAGAACACAAUCGGACAAAUAUAGAGUAGUGGAAAGAAAUUUAGCGUCACUUAAGUCUUUUGUGUCCUUAAAUUCAGGACUAACCAAGAGAAGUCCAACACACAUGGGUCGUGGCCUCCUGUAGAACGUCACCACACGAUGUUGUUCCAAACUUGCUCCCUAUCUAGUUAAAAAUAAAUUGCUCGCUAUCUACCUCUUGGUUGCCUUGAGCUUUAUUAAUACCAGUAUUGUCAUUUUAUUUCUUGUAAGCUACAUCAGCGGAUUAUAAUUCAAGUCUACAGCACUCAUUCCUGAUUUCUGGUCUUGCGGCAAUGAAAAAGAAUUUACAAAAAAGUAGGGGAUGAAGUGAACAGUAAGGUUUCUAGUUCUUCCUCAAAAGUCAAAACUCUACCUCUGCUUCGUAAACCAUAGGAUCAUAAUCAUUACAUGCAGCGCUACUAAACAUCAAAGAGCAAGAAUGGCAGCUGAUAUUAAGUGGCUGUAAAAGAGAUCUGCAGCAGGUUUUUUUCCAGUACAGUUUGUUGCCCAGCUAAUCUCAUGUGAAGACAAAUAAACAGCUUAUCGAACACAGCAGCAUAAGGAAGGUCUCGGCAGCUAGCAAAGCAAAGUCACAGUAGAGCAGACCCUGUAGCUAUCUACCAAAAGUAGCCAGAUAAACAAAAUGGUACUUCUUUUCUGUUUGAUACCAACAAAUUCAUAUGUUGAUGACACAUCCAGCUUAUAUACAUGUAUCCAAGCAUUAUUGCAUUACAAUAGUAAUUUUUUCCCACAUAAAGAAGGC
rnacentral:lncRNA from 1 species